rnacentral:rRNA from 1 species
UACGAGGGGGGCAAGCGUUGUUCGGAAUUAUUGGGCGUAAAGGGCGCGUAGGCGGUCUGACAAGUCUUGUGUGAAAUCUCUGGGCUCAACCCAGAGUCUGCACAGGAAACUGUCGGGCUAGAGUAUGGGAGAGGUGCGUGGAAUUUCCGGUGUAGCGGCGAAAUGCGUAGAUAUCGGAAGGAACACCUGUGGCGAAAGCGGCGCACUGGACCAAAACUGACGCUGAGGCGCGAAAGCUAGGGGAGCAAACAGG